rnacentral:miRNA from 1 species
GGUUUCUCUGUGUAGCUUUGGAGCCUGUCCUGGAACUCGCUCUGUAGACCAGGCUGGUCUUGAACUCACAGACAUCCACCUGCCUCUGCCUCCCGAGUGCUGGGACUAAAGGCGUGCACCACCACUGCCUG